rnacentral:rRNA from 1 species
AUGCCCAGCGGCGGCGCCCCUCUCGCCGUCUUCUUCGUCUCGUCCCUCAAGUCCGGCGCGCGCCUCCGCCACGGGGAGCAGCUCCACGCGCUCGCCGCCAAGUCGGGCCUCCUCGCCUCCAACCCCUUCGUCCGCAACUCCCUCCUCGCCUUCUACGCCCGGCUCCCCUCCCCAGAGGCGCCGGCGCUCGCCCACCACCUGUUCGACGAAAUUCCCCUGGCCCUCCGCGACCCCGCCGCCCACAACACCCUCCUCGCCGCCCUCGCCCGCGCGGGCCGGCUCGACCUCGCGCGGCGCAUGCUCGCGGAGAUGCCCCAGAGGGACACCGUCUCGUACACCACCGUCCUGACCGCCCUCGCGCGUGCCGGCCAUGCGGAGGACGCCGUGGCCGUCUUCCGCGGCAUGCUCGCCCAGGACGUGCCUCCCAACGAGGUGACACUUGCGGGCAUGCUCACGGCUCUGGCCCAGGAGAGGCCGCCGGUGCCGGUGGGUGUGGCACAUGGAGUCACCGUGCGACGCGGGCUUGAUGGGUUUCUCAUUGUGGCCACCAACCUGGUCCAUGCUUAUGCGGCAGCGUCACAGGUUUGUUUUGCCCGUGAGAUCUUUGAGCAGAUGCCGUAUAAGAACACAGUCACUUGGAAUGCCAUGCUUAAUGGUUAUCUGAAGACUGGGAUGGUUCAUAUGGCUGCUGAGGUUUUUGGGAGGAUCCCGGAAAGGGAUGCGGUCUCUUGGUCGACGAUGAUAGAUGGGUAUAUCCGUGCAGAUUGUGCAUCAGAAGCCCUGAGGGCAUAUGUUGCCAUGAUGGCUGAGGUGGACACGAGGGGCAAUGCAGCGCUGCUUGUUGAUUUGAUAAAGGUGUGUGCUCGACAUGCUGCGGUUUUAGAAGGGCAGCAACUACACACAGCCAUUCUGAAGGAUGGUUUUGAUGCCCAUCCGUUUGUACAAGCGACCCUUAUCCAUUUCUAUGGUUCUUGUGGUCGUCUUGACCUUGCCCGGAUGCAAUUCAAAUUAUCAGACAAAUCACACAUUGCAUCUUGGAAUGCUCUCAUGUCUGGUCUACUACAGAGGAAUCUAAUGCAUGAAGCAAGGCAACUGUUUGAUGACAUGCCUGAGAGGGACACAAUUUCAUGGAGUACUUUGUUAUCUGGGUAUGUACAGAGUGGACAUUCAAACAAGGCUUUGCAGCUAUUCUACUUGAUGAUGGAUGCUGGUGUUGAACCAAACCAUGUCACCUUGGCAAGUACUCUAUCCGCAGUUGCCGAUUCUGGCACAUUGGAGCAAGGCAGAUUUAUUCAUGACUAUAUAAUCAGCAAAUCAAUCCAACUUACAGACAACCUGAGUGCUGGACUGAUUGAUAUGUACGCAAAGUGUGGUAGUGUCGCUGAUGCAGUUCAAUUAUUCAGUUAUGUUAAGCAUAAGUUAUCUUCUGUGUCUCCUUGGAAUGCUAUCAUCUGCAGUUUAGCCAUCCAUGGCCAUGCACACACGUCGCUUGAACUGUUCUCAGAACUACAAAGCACCAAUAUUAAGCCCAACUCUGUCACAUACAUUGGUGUCUUAAAUGCAUGCUGUCAUGCUGGGCUGGUAACCGAAGGGAGGCACCAUUUUGAGUCCAUGAGGAGAGAAUAUGGAAUCCAACCAACAAUUAAACACUAUGGUUGCAUGGUUGAUCUUCUUGGUCGAGCUGGACACUUGAAAGAGGCAGAAAAUCUUAUCCAGAUGAUGCCUAUGAAAUCAGAUGUGGUGAUAUGGGGCAGCAUCCUUGCAGCCGCGAGGACACAUGGAAAUGUAGCCUUAGGAGAAAAGGCUGCGGAAGAAUUGGCCAAGAUUGAUCCAAACCAUGGAGCAUCCAAAGUGGCCUUAUCUAAUAUCUUUGCUGAGGCUGCUCGCUGGAAUAAUGUGUCCUUAGUGAGGAAGGAACUCCAGGGCGAAAAUAUGGAGAGGUUUUCUGGAAGCAGUGGAGUUGUUCAGUAA